rnacentral:rRNA from 1 species
GACGAACGCUGGCGGCGUGCUUAACACAUGCAAGUCGAACGGAAAGGCCCCUUCGGGGGUACUCGAGUGGCGAACAGGUGAGUAACACGUGAGUAACCUGCCCUUGACUUCGGGAUAACUUCAGGAAACUGGGGCUAAUACCGGAUAGGAAUCCUUGCUGCAUGGUGGGGGUUGGAAAGCUUCGGCGGUUUUGGAUGGACUCGCGGCUUAUCAGCUUGUUGGUGGGGUAGUGGCUUACCAAGGCUUUGACGGGUAGCCGGCCUGAGAGGGCGACCGGCCACAUUGGGACUGAGAUACGGCCCAGACUCCUACGGGGGGCAGCAGGGGGGAAUAUUGCACAAUGGGCGGAAGCCUGAUGCAGCAACGCCGCGUGCGGGAUGACGGCCUUCGGGUUGGAAACCGCUUUCAGCAGGGGCGAAGCUUGUGGUGACGGUACCUGCAGAAGAAGCACCGGCUAACUACGUG